GGUCCUGUGACUUUUCCAGACACUACCCAGUGUCUGCAGGGGUCUCCAGGACCCGAGAUCUAGACGAGAGCAACCCAGACCUGCACUGCAUGAUCUGUGGAUGUCCGAAGCCCUCCCUUGAGGGUCUGCACGUCCCAGGCUGCUCCGCUGGCCCCCUUGCUUCUGUCCUCUGCGUGCUGUCCACACGCCCAGCACAGUCCCAAGGACAAGAAGAGAAGAUUUGACUCUAGGACAGAGACCAAUGACCAGUAUCCUGACUCUCCAGGGGGCAGCUGGAAACUGAGGCAGAGGGAAGCCUUCAGACUCAGAUGCAGAACCUGGGGCUCAAGGAGGCCAUGUGACAGGCCUACUCUCUGCCCCUGCAGCACAUGGAGUUUGCCUGCAACCAACAGAAACACUCAUAAAGACCCAAGAAGGAGCAGAGCAAGAGGCCUUGCAUGGACCAGGAUGUGGUCAGUUUGGGGCCAGGAGGUGGUAGGAGCUCAGAGACGAGCUCACUGCUGAGG